GCUAUCACAUUCUGAGGACGGCA
rnacentral:misc_RNA from 1 species